rnacentral:rRNA from 1 species
GAUGAACGCUGGCGGCGUGCCUAAUACAUGCAAGUCGAACGAACAGAUGAGGCUCUUGCUCCUCUGACGUUAGCCGCGGACGGGUGUGUAACGCGUGUAUACCCUACCUAUAAGUCUGGGAUCACUUCGGGAAACCGGCGCUAAUCCCGUAUAAUCUCUUGAACCGCAUGGUUCAAUGGUGGGAUACGGUUUUUCUGUCUCGUCUAGCUGGAUCCGCGCCGUAUUAGGUGGUUGGUACGCUAACUGCUUUCCAAGGCAACGAGGCGUAGCCGACCUGCGAGAGGGAUAGGCCACACGAGAACGUAGACGCGGUCAUUGGUCCUACGGGAGGCAGCAGUAGGGAAUGGUCCGCAGUGGGCGAAAGCAUUGCGGAGCAACGCGGCGUGAGUGAUGACGGUGCCCGGAGCGUAAUACUCUGUUACUAGGGAAGAACAAAUGUGGAAGUAAAUAUGCACGUCUUGACGGUACCGAAUCAGAAAGCACCGGCUAACUACGUG